CAGUCGCCACGGUAAUACCAGCAGCCCAAGUGGUGGUCGCGUUUAUUGGGCCUAAAGCGCUCGUAGCCUGACCGGUAAGUUCCCCGUGAAAUCGGGUCGCCCAACGAUUCGGCUUGCGGGGAAUACUGUCGGUCUUGGGGCCGGGAGACGCCGAGGGUACUCCGGGGGUAGCGGUGAAAUGCUGUAAUCCUCGGGGGACUACCAGUGGCGAAGGCGCUCGGCGAUAACGGGCCUGACGGUGAGGGGCGAAAGCUGGGGGCGCGAACGGGAUUAGAUACCCCCGUAGUCCCUGUCUCUUAUA
rnacentral:rRNA from 1 species